GGAAAAUUGCCUUUAUUUAAGCCGUGGCUUAUUUAGGCCGCGGCUUAUUUUUGCUCGUAUAAAUGGCCCUAUUUUAACUAAUUUAAUCUCAACUAGCAAGAACGCACUUCACCAAAUAUUAAGCUCUAGUGCGAUAUUUAUAACAUGUUUGUAACAUGAUUUCAGUAUAUCUAAUGUAACGAGUUCCAUUUUGAAACGAAUAGAAAGCAGCAUGGCCGCAGCAUGACUACUUAAUAAAUCUAUAUGGACUACCAUAUAUUAGUUUGAGAAUUAAUACUUUUCAGACGACAUAUAGCUAUAGUUUUGGCAAAUGAUAUCUAGUUGAGUUUUAUAGAGGGAAGGAUCUCGUAUCUUUUUUUUCAAUUCAAUUUAUUUACCACUUCUUUCAGUUAUUUACAUUGAUUAUUGUAAUAAUAUUUAGGUAUAUAUUUAUAUUUAUGUAUGUCAAAUUGAAAGUGGCGAG